AGCGGGCAGUGAAGAGCUUGCUGAUGCUUUUCACAUGUGGGACAUCCUGGUUUGAUGUCAACAGAUCUGCAGUUGACUGAUGCUUCCAAGACGUUUCCAGUCCAUGCUGCAGUUUCCUGCCCUGCUGACAGGGACAGCAGGCUGAAUUUUGAGUGGCGGAGCUGAACCCGUGCAUGUGCUUCUACGUCCCAUCCUCUGGAGAGUGUUUAUUUUGGAUCUCCUCGGUAAAUUUAUGAGAGAAAGAUACAUGUUAAGAAAGAAGAAAGUGAAGAAAUAC